rnacentral:lncRNA from 1 species
UCUUCAAUUUUUUCUUCUUCUUCUUCUUCUUCUUAUCAUUAUCCAGUUCAUCCUGGUCAGAGUCAUGGAUGCAGGACAGGAAUCACCAGUUCAUUGCAAGUGUUUUAUCAUUGCUGGUGGGAGUGAGCGCUCGUGCUAAAUCCAGCAGAGGGCUGUGCAGCAGAGAACGAGAGUGAAAAGUGAGAGAGAGAGAGAGAGAGAGAUAGCGGAGAACAUCUCUCCCAACACAAUCCAGCUCAGAAUUAGGCAGUAAAAGGCAAUGAUUCACUAUUUGGCGCAGAAACGAGAGACAGAGAAAGAGGGGGAGAGAGAAACAAAGAAAGAGAAAAAUAAAGAGAGAGAAACCAAACAAAGCUCUCCAACCGGGUCGGAGCUGGAAGUCUGAACUGGAGUGUUACUGCUGGACACCGUAAGAGCGUUCUGU